AACAGUUGCCAAAGAGGCAGCAAUGGAAUUGCAGGCAACAGCGGAAUUGCAGGCAACAGCCAAUCAGGGUAGCCAGGCCAGCGGGCAGCAGUGUUACACGCUGUCCCGGCAAGAAAAGAAUUGGAGUUUUGUGGCUGCUGGAUUCUAAAAGGGGUGAUGACCUGACCUGAGAGGGACGUAAGGUCAAAAAUCUGAAACAAUCAUUGCAUGUAUGACUUUCCAGAGAGGCUUACAGUCGUUUUUAUAAAAGCAAGAGUUCAACAACAGUUCAGCAACACAGCAUCUGCCUACCAUCUCCCUGUAGAAUUUUUACUGCCAGUAUUUCACCACCAGCAUUUACAAUGAUUAUAGGCUUAACGAAUUCAUUAAACUAUAUUUAAAAAGUC